AUGGAUCUCACUAAAAAAAACAAAACAAAGAAAAAGCAAAAAAAACACCUACUGAUACUGAUACUGUUCCAGUCAGAAGAACUGACUAGAACAGAGUCAAUGAUUCAAAAAACUGGAGGCAGUACACUGGACUAUUUAAAGGAUAGAAGGAAUCCAAGAGCUCCUGACUCUGUGUACAACCUGCACUUUGCAGAACCCCUGUCAGUAUUAUGGAGUCUGUGGGGAAUCACCACACUGUCUUCUACAAUGAGAACCCUGAUUUUCUAUAUCUGGACAAAAGACUAGGACAUAAGAAAGAGAAUUUUAGUGGAAGGAACUAACUGAGGGAGAGACAUUGCACAGCAGACAAGGACAAAUAACAGAAGGGUGGAAACAAGGGUAAGUGAACUUGCCAAAGAAAUAGGCUCAAUAGGAAAGAAUUGUUAUGUGGGUAUGCUUAUGACUUUUAAGCAUUUGACUUGCAAUAAGUGUGGUUACUGUUUCUAAUGGAAAAUGGCAGACACUAAAAACACUGAAGAUCAGCUAUGAAGGUGAGCAGUGAUAUUAAAACAACACAGGGUUUGGUGUCAGAUAAAGAAAGUGACAUUUAUAAUGAUUUUUAUCUGCAAAAUGGCUCUAACAAUAGUGCCCAGCUCAAUGGAUUGUUAAAAGGCUUACAUGAGAUAUGACAAGGUGCCCAGCAUAAUGCUUGGCAAAUAGGAUGCAGAAAAACCUAAUCUUUACUUGGGGGUAUUCGGAAAUUCUCUACAUUUAGAUGUCUUCCCAGAUCUCAUAUGACCUUGAAAUAAAACUCCACCUUCCUGGAUAUAGAAAGUAAGGCUGGAUGUAAGGCUUUGGGGUUAAAAUAGGCUUGAACUUGAAUCACUUUUACACCUCUAGCUGCUUGAUACACCUCAGGCAAUACCUCGAUCUAACUCACAGGAUCAAAUGAGGUAAUACACACAUUAAAAGACUUAACACGUGGUUUUCAC
rnacentral:lncRNA from 1 species